rnacentral:rRNA from 1 species
GAUGAACGCUGGCGGCGUGCCUAAUACAUGCAAGUCGAGCGAACGGACGAGAAGCUUGCUUCUCUGAUGUUAGCGGCGGACGUGUGAGUAACACGUGGAUAACCUACCUAUUAGACUGGGAUAACUUCGGGAAGCCGGUGCUAAUACCGGAUAAUAUUUUUAACCGCAUUGUUCAAAAUUGAAAGACGGUCUUUCUUUCACUUAUAGAUGUUUCCGCGCUUCAUUAGCUAGUUGGUAAGGUAACGGCUUACCAAGGCAACGAUGCAUAGCCGACGUGAGAGGGUGAUCGGCCACACUGGAAGUGAGACACGGACCAGACUCCUACGGGAGGCAGCAGUAGGGAAUCUUCCGCAAUGGGCGAAAGCCUGACGGAGAAACGCCGCGUGAGUGAUGAAGGUCUUCGGAUCGUAAAACUAUGUUAUUAGGGAAGAACAUAUGUGUAAGUAAAUGUGCACAAAGUGACGGUAACUAAUCAGAAAGCAACGGCUAACUACGUG